UGGAUACGUGGAGGUCAUGUGACAUCCCUGACCCAAUCACUGCAGUCAGGACGCAGCCAGUAGAAGGUGUAAGAGCCUUUCCUGUUGGCUGGGGGGGGGGGGGGGGGGGCAAGUCCUGACGCUCACUCUGAUUGGACACACUCAGGUCAUGUGACAUCCCUGAACCAAUCACUGCAGCCAGGGCCCACCUUCGCUUGACCUGAGCAGAUCACAGCGGCCCUGGAACCGAGGGAGCGGGGCUGGGAUCACAGGUUUGGGCUUGGGGGUGGGUUCCAGAUGAAAGCUGGGGUCUCCUGGAAGAAGAGGGGGAUGCUGGACGCCACCCCCGGUGUCCUCCACAGAGUCUAGGUCACUGUCCCGAGGCCCCGGCUGCCUCAGAGACUCUGACGGGAGGAGAGGCGGGGACGUGGCCUGUGGCCUUUCCUCCUGACUUCCGGUCCUGGACCUGCGGCUUCCAGACCCGCCGACCUCAGCCAGAGCAUGAGACCCACGGGAGUGAGGCCACCCGGACAGUCCCAGGCAGAGCUUUGGCCACCCAGCCCCUUGUCCUGUGGAUUCCCACAGCCCAGCGCCUCUCCGGGUCCACCGUGACGUCCUCCUUAAGGUGGUGCUUUCGUAGUUGGAAGCCUGAGGCCUGAGUGUCUCUGCGUGAAGAUGCGGGGUUUGUGCAUUGAUUGAAUAUAAAACAUACUGAGCUCCAGAACGUCCAGAGGCUCAAAGGGAAUUUGAAGUUUUAACCUGCUCUGUGAACUCGGAAGCUGAGAGUCAUCCACAGACGUCCGUAGGUGUCAGACAGCAGCAGGCUGUGGAGGUGUUUCUGCCUGGGCUUCUCCACUCGAUCUGGAAACCAGAGAUGCUGCCUAAUGACAUGCAAAGCUCUGGAAUCAGAAGGAGAGACUGGCGGGACGUCUCCCAGAAGGAAGGCCUGAGAUGGGGUCACAACUGCCCCACGGUCCUGGGUCCAGUGGAGGCGAGCGCACUCCCGUGGUGACAGGUCUGUCCUGUCACCCCCCUCGACCCCACGACCCUGCGGUCCCCCCUCGGUGCUGCUGGGGAGAAUCCACACCAGCAGCAGAGAAGCAGGAACCCAAGGCACAGGCUGAGCCCUGCGGGGCACUGAGACCUCCGCACCUCCAGAAACGUCGGAGGCUGGGCCUUCCCCCAGCUCCCCUUCACCUGCAAGGCGGUCCACCCCUGAGACCCCUGGGGAGCCCUCCCAGACCCUGUCUGCCCCUGAGGCCCCCUUCUCUGGGCCUCACAGUGCAGGGCGAGCCCGGGUCUUGGAGUUGGUCUCACCGCCUGGGACGAUGGGGUUGCUGACUCGAGGCGGCCCGAGGCACUUCUGACUUCCUCGUCGAGCUCCUCUGCACCUCCCUCCCAGUGGCGUGGUGACUGGCCGCAGCAGCCUGCGUCCUGGAGCCCGUGUCGAGCGGAGCACCGCUGUCAGUCCAGGAGGGACGUGAGGCGCGGAAUGUCUCAAGUCUCCGGUCCACCCAGCUGAGAUCCAGACAAGUGAAGGAGAGAGGGAGACGCGGGCUGGAGAUUCGAGAAGGUUAAUUAAAGUCUCAGAUUCAAGGUCAGGGUGACCCGUUGCCUGAGGUCCUGGCUGCCCAAACUUCCAGGGGUAACAGCCCCCAGUCCCAUGGACCAGAACCAUCCCUCAGAACAGGAAUCUACAUUUGACAGCCUUCGCUCAUCUGAUGGAUUCUUCUCCCGAAUUCUCCUCUUAGAAAUGAAAUGGAUUUCCAUGGCAACGUGGGCCUUGAUGGUGCAGGACACUGUUUUCAGUGGUGCCAAAGCAGUGUGGCCGGUGCAUAGACACCCAGGCUGAGCUCAUCCAUGAGGUUCCACACUCAGGAACCUCAGCACCCGUGGCAGUCAAGGGGCCGGCAGGACCGUGGUGCUGUUAUGCUCUGCAGACGAGCAGGAAAGUGUGUGAAACCUGCCGGGAGCACCCGAGAAACAUGGGAGGUUGUUUUUGCUGAGGCGACUUGACAGGAGGAAGUGGAAGAGGAUUGGAGCUACUCUUCCCAGGGUCUGAUGAUUCUCCGCCCACACGGUCAGGAACGCAGGCACGUAUCAACCUCCAGGUGAUGUUCCCUGUUAUCCCUCAGCACUGAUGAGGGAGGAAUGACUUCGUCCGUUCGUUAUUCAAGCGCUGUAAAAGUUUGACCCCGCACCGGAAGAGCAGCAACAAGACACCAGCAGCAAAGACGGUCACGUGGAAGGCUCAUCACGGGUCCAUGUUCUCUGUGCACAUCCACCUCAGCCUCCCUGGAUUCGCCUUUUAAACAACUGUGGACUCCCCUGGGAGGGAUCAUCACGUUGUGGAGAGCUGUGCAGGGCCUGGAGUCAGACAGCCGGGGUGGAGCCCUGUCCACACCCUCACAUCUGUGUGGCCUUAUAAAGUCACUUCAUCUCUCUUAGCUUCAGUCUCCUCAUCUCUGAACUUGGAACCGUGAAAGCACACACCACCCAGAGCAGAUGAGAUGAGUCAGUAGAUGUACGGAGUCAGCACUGAGCCUGGAAGACAGGAAGCACUCAGCCAUGGCCAUUCUGUUCUGAUCACAAGGAUGGAGCACCCACUCCCAGGACGACAUCAUCGUGACAAGACUAAGGUUAAGUGAUCGCUUACAAGGUGCCAGGACAGGUCUGUGAGCCUUACGCGCACUGACUCCUGUAACCCUCGCGGCUCCUUCACGGGGCAGCUCCUGCGCUGACUGUUCUCAGUUACAGGUGGGGAAGUCAGAGGUGCCCAGGCUUCAGUGUGCGGCCUGCCCCCCACCAAGUCCCCGGGGCCAGCACUGCGCCGUCCCUGGGUGGAGCGCGAUGAUGGCAGGGGCCUCUGUAAAAGGGACCCUUGUUCCCUGAGGAGGGGUCACUCAGU
ensembl:lncRNA